CAGUCGCCGCGGUAACACGUAGGGUGCAAGCGUUGUCCGGAAUUAUUGGGCGUAAAGAGCUCGUAGGCGGUUUGUCGCGUCUGCUGUGAAAUCCCGAGGCUCAACCUCGGGCUUGCAGUGGGUACGGGCAGACUAGAGUGCGGUAGGGGAGAUUGGAAUUCCUGGUGUAGCGGUGGAAUGCGCAGAUAUCAGGAGGAACACCGAUGGCGAAGGCAGAUCUCUGGGCCGUAACUGACGCUGAGGAGCGAAAGCGUGGGGAGCGAACAGGAUUAGAUACCCGUGUAGUCCCUGUCUCUUAUAC
rnacentral:rRNA from 1 species